rfam:Gossypium hirsutum cultivar TM-1 chromosome 12, whole genome shotgun sequence
UAUUAAAAGUUUUAUCUAUUUAUACUAUUAAAAACUAGCGCGGCUGGCGCAAUAAUUAGACAUUGAUACGUGACGUGCCACAUAUAUCUCAUACUAAUGUAUAGGGACUAGUUUUUAAUAACAAAUAAAUAAAAUUUUUAACA